rnacentral:rRNA from 1 species
UAGGGAAUCUUCCACAAUGGACGCAAGUCUGAUGGAGCAACGCCGCGUGAGUGAAGAAGGUCUUCGGAUCGUAAAACUCUGUUGUUAGAGAAGAACACGAGUGAGAGUAACUGUUCAUUCGAUGACGGUAUCUAACCAGCAAGUCACGGCUAACUACGUUCCAG